GGCCGGUGCAGUGGCUCACACCUCUCAUCCCAGUUCUUUGGGAGGCCGAGGCCAGCGGAUCACGAAGUCAGGAGAUCAAGACCAUCCUGGCCAACACAGUGAAACCCCGUCUCUUCAAAUAUACAAAGAAUUAGCCAGAGAAGCAGGGAAUCUGGAAUUUUGGGUGAAAUGUCUGUUUCCAGAAGGUGAAAAUGCUCUCAAAUGGAAAAUUCAGGGUCAGAAUGGCCUUGGGUACUGCACACUUCCUACCAGGAAUAGAAGGCGCCAGAGCUAUAGCACUUCUCUUCCCUUUAGUUCUUUGGAAGGAUGAGCAAAUUAUUCACCCUCUCUGAGCCUCAGUUUCCUCAUCCAUAAAAUGAUGACAGUACACCAACCUCGCAGGUCACAAGGAUGUUAUGAAAUCAGGUCCUUUCCAACACCUCCUUCAGAGAAGCUCCCUGGCUCCAGGCAGUGCUUGCUCCCCUCACUGCAGCAGGAAGCCUAACUUGCGAACUGCAGGUGUGCUCCAGGUGGUCACUGGAUGCAAGGCAUUGACAGAUGGAUCCCAUCGAUACCCCCACUGCAAAACCAUAGUGCAGUGAAUAGAAGACACUUCUCUGCACCCCAAAAGCUCC
rnacentral:lncRNA from 10 species